GACAGAGGGUGCAAACGUUGCUCGGAAUUACUGGGCGUAAAGCGCGUGUAGGCGGACCACCAAGUCGGACGUGAAAUCCCACGGCUCAACCGUGGAAGUGCACUCGAAACUGCGCAGCUAGAGUCCUGGAGAGGAAGGUGGAAUGCUUGGUGUAGAGGUGAAAUUCGUAGAUAUCAAGCGGAACACCGGUGGCGAAGGCGGCCUUCUGGACAGUGACUGACGCUGAGAUGCGAAAGCGUGGGGAGCAAACAGG
rnacentral:rRNA from 1 species